CCUACGGGAGGCAGCAGUGGGGAAUCUUGCGCAAUGGGCGAAAGCCUGACGCAGCGACGCCGCGUGUGGGAUGGAGGCCUUCGGGUCGUAAACCACUGUCGCGAGGGACGAAUAAAUUGACGGUACCUCGAAAGGAAGCACCGGCUAACUCUGUGCCAGCAGCCGCGGUAAU
rnacentral:rRNA from 1 species